GAUGAACGCUGGCGGCAUGCCUAACACAUGCAAGUCGAGCGAACGGACGAGAAGCUUGCUUCUCUGAUGUUAGCGGCGGACGGGUGCGUGACACGUAGAUACCCUACCUAUAAGACUGAGAUAACUUCGCGACACCGGAUCUAAUACCAGAUAAUAUUUUGAUCCGCAUGGUUCAAAAGUGAGAGACAGUCUUGCUGUGACUUAUACAUGGAUUCGCGCUGCAUUAGCUAGAUGGUCAUGUAACGGCUUACCAAGGUAACGAUGCAUAGCCGACCUGAGGGGGUGAUCUGCCACACUGGAACUGAGACACGGUCCCGAGUGCUACGGGAGGCAGCAGUAGGGAAUCUUCCGCAAUGGGCGAGAGCAUGACGGAGCAACGCCGCGUGAGUGAUGAAGGUCUUCGGAUCGUGAAACUCUGUUAUUAGGGAAGAAAAUCAGUGUAAGUAACUGUGCACAUCUUGACGGUACCUAAUGAGAAAGCGACGGCUAACUACGUG
rnacentral:rRNA from 1 species